rnacentral:rRNA from 1 species
GACGAACGCUGGCGGCGCGCUUAACACAUGCAAGUCGAACGGAAAGGCCUGCUUUCCCUUGUGGAUUGCGGGUACUCGAGUGGCGAACGGGUGAGUAACACGUGAGUGAUCUGCCCCCAACUUGGGUAUAAGCCUGGGAAACUGGGUCUAAUUCCCGAUAGGACUGCAGGGUGGUGCCUGUGGUGGAAAACGAUUUUCUAGUGGUUGGGGAUGAGCUCGCGGCCUAUCAGCUUGUUGGUGGGGUAAUGGCCUACCAAGGCGGCGACGGGUAGCCGGCCUGAGAGGGUGGACGGCCACAUUGGGACUGGGAUACGGCCCAGACUGCUACGGGAGGCAGCAGUGGGGAAUAUAGGACAAUGGGCGGAAGCCUGAUGCAGCGACGCCGCGUGGGGGAUGACGGCCUUCGGGUUGUAAACUCCUUUCGACCGCGAGGAAGCCACCUGGUUGGAAGGGUGGUGACGGUAGUGGUAGAAGAAGCACCGGCUAACUACGUG